UACAGAGGUCUCGAGCGUUAGGCGGAAUCACUGGGCUUAAAGCGUGUGUAGGCGGAUCGUUAAGUGCCUUGUGAAAUCCCACGGCUUAACCGUGGAACUGCUUGGCAUACUGGCGGUCUUGAGCAACCUAGGGGCGAGCGGAACAAAUGGUGGAGCGGUGAAAUGCGUAGAUAUCAGGAGGAACACCAAUGGCGAAGGCAGCUCGCUGGAACGGUACUGACGCUGAGGCGCGAAAAGCGUGGGGGAGCGAACAGG
rnacentral:rRNA from 1 species